UACGUAGGGACCGAGCGUUGUCCGGAUUCAUUGGGCGUAAAGAGCUCGUAGGCGGCCACUCAAGUCGAAUGUGAAAUCUCGAGGCUCAACCUCGAGCCUGCAUUCGAUACUGGGCGGCUAGAGUCUGGUAGGGGGAGUCUGGAAUUCCUGGUGUAGCGGUGGAAUGCGGCAGAUAUCAGGAGGAACACCGGUGGCGAAGGCGGGAUCCUGGGCCAGUACUGACGCUGAGGAGCGAAAGCGGUGGGGAGCGAACAGG
rnacentral:rRNA from 1 species